GUGACAGAAUGAGACCCUGUCUCAAAAAAAAAAAAAAAAAAAAUGCUAGUUGUCAACAUAAUUUAACCAAAAUUUUAUGACAGUGUUUCUUGCUAAAGGAGAAAAUAACAAUGCAAUGGUACACAGAGGACAAGUCAUCCAAUAAAUUUUCUUAUACAUAAUAGGUUCCUAAAAGCUUGCCCUUAAAACUAUUUUUAAUCCAACUAAUUUACAUACUAGAAAAGUUAUGACUUAGUACGGUAUCAUAAAAUUCUUUUAUACAAUCACCUUCUCAACUAAACUCAAGGACAGAGAUUAUAAAUUAUAUUCAUAUCAGUACGGUACUCUUGGCACAUAAUAUAGUAUCUGGAAUGUAAAAGACAUGCAACAAACCAGCCUGGGCAAUAUAGCAAGACUUCAUCUCUGAAAAACAAGUAAAAAAUUAGCUGGGCACAUGACACACGCCUAUAGCCCCAGUUAUUCAGCAGGAUCCCUUGAGCCCAGAUGUUCAGGGCUGCAGUGAACUUUGAUCGCACCACGGCACUCCAGCCCAAGACCCUGUCUCUUUAAAAAUAAAAGACAUGCAAUAAACAUGGAACGUACUAAUAAAUUUGCUCUUAUAGUGAAUGUAAGAUUUCCUUACACUAAAUCUGUUUGAAAGGAAAUAUACUCAAACAGGGCAUAUUCAAAGAUUAACACCUCUUUAGUUGGAUUUUAACACAAAUACCCACAAAGCCCUAACUGCCCUAAUAAUGUUCCCUCCUAUGGAGUCUUCCCUAAAACACAUAUAAUAUUGCUCUUCGGGCAAACACAAAAUAUAGUGGAUAAAGCACCAGAAUUAGAGUCUGGCAUCCCAACUCCAUCCUUUACUAGUUGAGACCUUAAUAAGUGGCUUACCCUCUUUGAGGCCCAUUCUCCACAUCUGCCCAAUUAGAAUAACCCCCUCCAACCCUACAGAGAUGCUGUCAGAAUUAAAAGAGCUAACACCCAGCCUGGCUCAAAGCUGUAGUCCAGAAAAUACUGUUCUUCCCUUAGAUUCCUUCAGAACGCCCUCGUAGAAAGUAAACGUGGUUAUUAUCUUCAUUAUUUUCGGACUUAUUUAUCUAAAACGUAAAUCAAAGCCUAAGGAGCCCAGGGGAAACCCUCCUUCAGCUUAAUAGCUCCAGCCUGCCCAGCUUUCCGAUCCAAUUAAGUAUUUCCAUGCCUGGAGCUCCUAUUUCCACGCCUGGAGCUCCUAUUUGUGUUUUAGGAUCAGGGAACUUCCCUCCCAAACUGUGUCAUGAGAUCUGCGCAUUUUCUUCUCACUGAAACUCCUUUUAACACACAAGGUAAUGAUCCGCGCGUAACCUCGCGGGGAAGAGCAAGCGCUCAUUACCCAGCUGUUCAGAAGGAAAUUUACAUCAAUAUUUGUUUUCCUUCUCUCCCUGACGCCGCUGAGGGUGGAACGACAGCGUCCAGGCAAAGGCAGUGUCCCGAUGUCCCACGGCCGGACCCGGUCCCGGUAAAGAAAAUGGACUUUACAUUGGUAAAGGUGAAACAACAUACAAAGAGAACUGAAACUUGAGAUGGUACUUGUAUGCCUGAGAGACCAAAAUGCUGAUUCAGUUUACCUUCCUGGAAACUGUAAAACCAGCCAAUCAGAGGAUCAGGUUAUUGAGAAGAAGAAACUUGUCCAACUCCCUAUUAUACAAUUAAUUAACUGAAGUGAAACAACAAAAGGAAGAAAAAGCAAAGCAAGAAGCCUGUACCCAAAAUAGAGCAAGGGAAAAAAAUGUAUAAGGGGAGCAGGCAGAUGGGGAGAGGGCCUUCAGUGUUUCAAGCCUAAAGCAUACCACAAAUGAAACUGUUAAAUUUAAUUUUUAUUCCCUCUACAGAAAACACUAGCGAAACUUUGAGCCAAAAAUACAUGCUGACUUUAUACAGUGUAAAGAGUUUUAAAAAUUAUGUGUAAUACUAGACAAAAUUAUUUAAAGUCAAUAAAUUUUUCUUCAAGGAAUUUCACAUCUUGUGAUUCCUUCACUGCUCAUCAAGGUUAUCUUAGUUUCUCUAAAGAUUGAGUCAAGAUUUAUCUUCAAGAUAGCACUUUUCAAAAGAAUUGAUGCAUAAUCCACAGUUGUCCUGUCUGCCCACAGUUCUUUUAUUUUGGUUCAUUUUAUCUCCACUUGAAUAUGGACAUACUGACGCCACUUUCAAAAAUUCUCUACAUUUUUUUAAAGUAAACGGCUCUCAAUUUCUGACAUCCUCUCUAAACCCAAAUAAGUUCAAAUCAUAUUUGUUCCUAAGUUAUCACACUGAAGAACAGCAUGGGAUAUACCAUGACCUUCAAAUCCAGAGGUUAUGUCCUCAAGAUAAAAUCCUUAACCAAAAAAAAAAAAGUCCAUCUCGAUGUAUUAUGUCAACAUGAAACUGGAAUAGUAAAUCAACAUAGCAGAAAAUUUCCCCAUGUCCUAUGCUUUUUAUUUUUUAUUUUUGUUACUUGUUUUUUGAGACAGAGUCUCACUGUGCC